GAUCAUGGCUCAGAUUGAACGCUGGCGGCAGGCUUAACACAUGCAAGUCGAGCGGGGGAAGGUAGCUUGCUACCGGACCUAGCGGCGGACGGGUGAGUAAUGCUUAGGAAUCUGCCUAUUAGUGGGGGACAACAUCUCGAAAGGGAUGCUAAUACCGCAUACGUCCUACGGGAGAAAGCAGGGGAUCUUCGGACCUUGCGCUAAUAGAUGAGCCUAAGUCGGAUUAGCUAGUUGGUGGGUAAAGG
rnacentral:rRNA from 1 species